rfam:Myotis lucifugus cont2.19101, whole genome shotgun sequence.
UGUGGUUCUUGGGUGACACACCCUGGAAUUGGGCUCCCUCUUCUCUGGUUCCCUGUGCAUCACCCGAGAACCGCA